rnacentral:rRNA from 1 species
UCUCCUGGAAACGGGUGGUAAUGCCGGAUGCUCCAUCACACCGCAUGGUGUGUUGGGAAAGCCUUUGCGGCAUGGGAUGGGGUCGCGUCCUAUCAGCUUGAUGGCGGGGUAACGGCCCACCAUGGCUUCGACGGGUAGCCGGCCUGAGAGGGCGACCGGCCACAUUGGGACUGAGAUACGGCCCAGACUCCUACGGGAGGCAGCAGUGGGGAAUAUUGCACAAUGGGCGCAAGCCUGAUGCAGCGACGCCGCGUGAGGGAUGGAGGCCUUCGGGUUGUAAACCUCUUUUGUUAGGGAGCAAGGCAUUUUGUGUUGAGUGUACCUUUCGAAUAAGCACCGGCUAACUACGUGCCAGCAGCCGCGGUAAUACGUAGGGUGCAAGCGUUAUCCGGAAUUAUUGGGCGUAAAGGGCUCGUAGGCGGUUCGUCGCGUCCGGUGUGAAAGUCCAUCGCUUAACGGUGGAUCCGCGCCGGGUACGGGCGGGCUUGAGUGCGGUAGGGGAGACUGGAAUUCCCGGUGUAACGGUGGAAUGUGUAGAUAUCGGGAAGAACACC